UGCAGGGUUCCUCCAUUUUGACAUGAGUAAAUUCUAGAUUAGGUAUUUGGCAGUUAACUCAUCUGGAUAUAUGGGAACAGAAGUGCCAGACACGUAGAUAAUAUUUGGAGAACAGGAGCAGACUUGGAACAUGCUGAAUGGAGGACAAGGAAGCAGAAGCAGUCUGUGUGGCUGAGGAAAAGAAGGAAGCUUUAGAGAGAACCAAAAACUGAUAAAUUAAUCUUUGAAAAAAUUGUUGACAACUUUUCAAAAAUUACCAGUUCAUAGACUAUGUUCACUUUAA
rnacentral:lncRNA from 1 species